GAGCAGUUCCAGCGACCAUCACUGGUGUUCCGAAGGAACUGAGGAGAUGCGGGGUCAGCCAGGCGCUUUAUGUCAUCACUAGUGGUGCACAGCAGCAGAGGGCGCUCAAGCCACCUUGAUGGGUGCAUCACUGAGGGAAAAAUUUCCGGUGACUGUGCGCAGGAAGUGUAAUGCACACAAGCAAUCACUCAAAGAAGAACCUACAUUUAGCUAUCAGCUAACUGCGCUAAAUGGGGAUUCUGUCUCAAUUAAAGACUAGGGCAGCAUAUAGUGAGAUGGAGGGUUGUGAAUUCUCGCCUGACUUAGCUGGGCUUUUGUGGAGAAGAUGGUGCCCUAUAGAAUGAGAGUCUUAUGGAGAUCCAGGGAAUGGAUAUUUUAUCUGCUGAUUCCAAUCCCAAUACUGCUUUGGAUACAGGCUACAGACUUCUGUUUCACCAGCAACUGCGAGGACCAGUCAGUUAUUAUUCCAAGGGCUGGAAAGCUGCGGGCUGUGGAACCCUCCAGACCAUGGGUUCUCAAACUGGGGGUUGGGACCCCUCAGGGGGUUGCAAGAUUAUUACUUGGGGGAGGGUUGCGAGUUGUCAGCCUCCAAUCCAAAACCCGCUUUGCCUCCAGCAUUUAUAAUGGUGUUAAAUAUAUUUAAAAGUGUUUUUUAAGUUAUAAGGGGGAUCACACUCUUAGGCUUACUAUGUGAAAGGGGUCGCCAGUACAGAAGUUUCAGAACCACUGCUCCAGACUGUUUGUUUGCUAACACAGCUCUGAAGUGUUGGAAAGGACUGAGAUGCUGCCAUUUCUCAAGUGCUGAAGAGUCCAGGUGAUGCACACAUUUGGUCACAUUGUAAGCCUGAGGAAUCAUCUCUGAGAAAAAAUCAGAGGGGGAUGUCUUUUGAUGUGUGCUAAAGUAUGGUAAAUGUUAUGUUGAAACCUUAUAUUUGAACGUUUAUAACAGAAACAAAAGGCGCAGGGCAGGGGAACUUGUCCAAGGAACACCAGUAGAUUUAAUGUCUAAUUGUUUUAAGUUCUUUAUAAUAUUCCAAACACUAUUUAGAAUGUUUUGUAUGCAUUAAAUGUUUGUUUUACA